UGGGGAAUAUUGCACAAUGGGCGAAAGCCCGAUGCAGCGACGCCGCGUGAGGGAUGACGGCCUUCGGGUUGUAAACCUCUUUCGACAGGGACGAAGCGCAAGUGACGGUACCUGUAGAAGAAGCACCGGCCAACUACGUG
rnacentral:rRNA from 1 species